CUCCCUCCUACCCUGUCUCUGCACAGUCCCGGGAACUGGCAACCCAUGUUAUGCCACUGGUCAAUAUCAAAGAUUUAUUGCAGAACAUACCUCAGGUUAUAGUGACCAGAAACUUAGGAACAUGCUUCUACUGUGCAACUAGGGACAAAAAGGUGUAUUGUUGACUCAACUGGAACGGCAGGCUUACCACAACUGCCUGGCUUAUGGGAGCAGCAGUAACUUGGUUGAUACUGAUGCAUGAAGGUAAUAAAGUCUAUAAUUAAUUUUUUGUCAUCAGCUAUAAAUCUUCCCCCAGAUUUGGGGAAAGAAUUCUGUUCUUCUAUUAAGUACAAUGCCAUUUUAGAGAGCCAAGGUGAUUCACUGGAUGCAGAAUAUAUUUACAUUAAUAAGAAGUGUACAGUACUCAGAAAUACAAUAUUUUAAAGUAAUGUUCCUAACGUUCUAAAUUUUAUUUCUUUACAUUCCGCAGCAAAGGAAUGCACCAGGGUCUAGUGUUCAACGGAGUAUGCACAAAUUGUCAGAGAGCCAG